rnacentral:lncRNA from 1 species
GCAAAGGCCGCUGAUUUCCUACUGCAUAUAACACACCCACUUUACCUAAAGCAGAAAUUAAAGCCAGGAGGCGCCAUCCCUUGUGGGCACCUGAAAAGUACAAAACGAAGUCUGGGGACAGUUCAAAGGCGCUUAAGUUGACCAGUGGCAAUUUUUGUUUCCCGCCCCCCUGCACACGCGAAAGCGCUUGCGCUGCCAUUGGCUCCCGCUGGGGCUUGUGUCCAGAGUAGCAGACAGCCAUGGUGGCCCCGCGGGCCUGGCGCUGACAGACCCUGGAGCAGUGUCUCACAGAGGUCGGCAAAGCCACCGGCUGGCACCAGUGCAUCCUCACGUAAGUGCGCAGAUCCCGAGCUCGGGUGGGACUGAGGUCGCACGUGGACGCGAGUUGCAGACUCCUGGCAAAUUGUGGAGCUAAGGGAAGGUAAGGGGAAAUGUAAACCACUCUUCCCCACAUUUCAGAGUUUAUAGUUUCCUAGGCUAUCAAAAUUUUCAAAAUGGUUAAAAAUUUUUACAGUAUGGCUCUCUCAGUUGAAUGUUAUUGAAAUGAAUGUAACCUCAGUUAUUAACGCCUAGAAGCUCCCCUUGAGGCUUAUUACUGCCCCCAUUCCCCUACACACAAACUGUGUUGGUUUCUCCUUCCGCCUAUGUGCUCCUAAAGCACCCAGUGUUUCACUGUCAUCAUACUUUAUUGAAAGUACAAACUUGUCACUUGUCUGUCCACCCCAACUAAGCUUCUUGAGAAUUAGAACUUUCAUGUCUCUUCCCAGCACAAGCGUUUUAUGCGUACUUUGUUGAAGAACUUCAAAUAUGAUCUAUAAAAUUAUGACCCAUUUAACUCCAACCUCUCCUUUGAGUCCCUGGCUCACAGCAACUACAGACUGAGCUUAGUUGGAAUUCAGUAGCACACAACUGGGAUAUCCGCACUGUAAGGCUUUUAACACUUUUUAAAAUUUUGGUACCCUCAGCAUCGCAAAUUCACUGUGUCCAAAAUAGAGUAGAAUGUUGUUUCUACCCACCUGUACUCUGCCAUCCCCUGAAGUCCUUUCCCCAUGCUCCACCACUCAAGCCUUGCCUAUCGCAGUAAAUGGCAGUUCUGUCUUUCCAGUUGCUCACACAU